rnacentral:rRNA from 1 species
CCUACGGGAGGCAGCAGUGGGGAAUAUUGGGCAAUGGGCGCAAGCCUGACCCAGCAACGCCGCGUGAAGGAAGAAGGCUUUCGGGUUGUAAACUUCUUUUGUCAGGGACGAAGCAAGUGACGGUACCUGACGAAUAAGCCACGGCUAACUACGUGCCAGCAGCCGCGGUAAUACGUAGGUGGCAAGCGUUAUCCGGAUUUACUGGGUGUAAAGGGCGUGUAGGCGGGGAGGCAAGUCAGAUGUGAAAACCACGGGCUCAACCUGUGGCCUGCAUUUGAAACUGUUUUUCUUGAGUGCUGGGGAGGCAAUCGGAAUUCCGUGUGUAGCGGUGAAAUGCGUAGAUAUACGGAGGAACACCAGUGGCGAAGGCGGAUUGCUGGACAGUAACUGACGCUGAGGCGCGAAAGCGUGGGGAGCAAACAGGAUUAGAUACCCCAGUAGUC